rnacentral:rRNA from 1 species
UACGAAGGGGCUAGCGUUGCUCGGAAUCACUGGGCGUAAAGCGCACGUAGGCGGAUUGUUAAGUCGGGGGUGAAAUCCUGGAGCUCAACUCCAGAACUGCCUUCGAUACUGGCGAUCUCGAGUUCGGGAGAGGUGAGUGGAACUGCGAGUGUAGAGGUGAAAUUCGUAGAUAUUCGCAAGAACACCAGUGGCGAAGGCGGCUCACUGGCCCGAUACUGACGCUGAGGUGCGAAAGCGUGGGAGCAAACAGGG